rnacentral:rRNA from 1 species
GGUGAACGUUGGCGGUGCGUCUAAUACAUGCAAGUCGAGCGAGGCUUCGAGCCGAGCGGCAGACGGCUGAGUAACACGUUGGUAACUACCUCAAACUCAGGGAUAACGCCGAGAAAUCGGUGCUAAUACCGGAUGGUCCCGUAAGGGUAAAGUUUUUACGGUUUGAGAGGUGCCUGCGUCCUAUCAGGUAGUUGGUGAGGUAACGGCUCACCAAGCCUAUGACGGGUAACUGGUCUGAGAGGAUGACCAGUCAGAGGGAAACUGAGACACGGUUCCCACUUCUACGGAAGGCAGCAGUAAAGAAUCUUCCACAAUGGACGAAAGUCUGAUGGAGCGACACCGCGUGCAGGAUGAAGGCCCUUGGGUCGUAAACUGCUUUUUUGGGGGAAAAAUUCUGAUUGUACCCUAAGAAUAAGCACCGGCAAAUCACGUGC